rnacentral:ncRNA from 1 species
UAAGAGUUUGAUUCUGGCUUAAAAGUUCGUUUUUUGGUGGUUGAACAUGCAAAUAUUUGUGUAAUUUAACUUUCUUAAUGAUUAAGUUUUUGGUGUUCGCAGUUUUUAAUUUUAAUAUUUUAGGGAACUAAGAUUUAGGUAAUCAUUAAUAAUUCUGACUAAAGUUGUGCCAGCAGUCGCGGUUAUACAACGGGAGUAAACGAUCUUUAUCAGGGACUAUAUUUAAGAUUUAGAAUUUUGUGAAUUGUAAUUUUUAAUUUUUUGGGUGAAAUCUUAAUUUUAAUAAUAGUUUGAAGUUAUUCUGAUUUAAAUAUGAAAUUCCAUUGUAAGACUAGGAUUAGAUACCCUAUUAUUAUGGAUUGUUAAUUUUUCUUAGUAUUAAUAGAUAUGUUCUUUAAAUUAAAAGAAUUUGGCGGUAAUUUAGUCCUUUCAGAGGAACCUGUCCUGUAAUUGAUGAUCCACGAUUAAUUUUACCUUAUUUUAGCUUGUAUACCUCUGUCAUUGAGUGUUUUAUUAGAAUAUUUUCUUAAAUCUUUAUGAGUUUAAUGUCAGGUCAAGGUGCAGCAGUAUUAAGGAAGAGAUGGGUUACAAUAAAUGUAUUUAUGGAUAAAUAUAUGGAAUAUAUAUUUUGAAAAUGGAUUUGAAAGUAAUAGUUGUUAAUAAGCAAUUAUGAUUAAGGCUCUAUAUUAUGCACACAUCGCCCGUCACUCUCAUUAUUAUGAUGAGAUAAGUCGUAACAAAGUAGGCCAACCUGAAGGUGGGCCUAGAAAGAUUU